UUCACGGACAUUUUGAAAUAUAAAAACUUCACCUUGCUAUUAUUCUUUGGAAUUUUUUUGUCGCCAAUAAAAAAUCGUUUGUUUUAAUAGUUGAUUAUGGUCUGGCAAAACCUUACAUUGAUUCUGAAACAAAGAAACAUAUUUCCUACUCAGAACAUAGAUCCAUAACAGGAACUGUUCGUUAUAUGUCUAUAAAUGCUCAUCAAGGAGCUGAACAGAGUAGAAGGGAUGAUAUGGAAGCUACGGGUUACCUAAUGGUGUAUUUACUAAAGCGUGGAACUCUUCCUUGGAUGGGACUGAAAGAGGAAGAUUUGAGAGAACGAUAUCGAACUAUUGGAAAGAUGAAGGAAAAUAUAUCGUUAAGAAAACUAUGUUCAG